rnacentral:rRNA from 1 species
GACGAACGCUGGCGGCGUGCUUAACACAUGCAAGUCGAACGGAAAGGCCCUGCUUGCCGGGUGCUCGAGUGGCGAACGGGUGAGUAACACGUGGGUGAUCUGCCCCUUACUUUGGGAUAAGCCUGGGAAACUGGGUCUAAUACUGGAUAGGACCAUGCUGUAGGUGGUGUGGUGGAAAGAUUAGUUUCGGUAAGGGAUGAGCUCGCGGCCUAUCAGCUUGUUGGUGGGGUAAUGGCCUACCAAGGCGUCGACGGGUAGCCGGCCUGAGAGGGUGGACGGCCACAUUGGGACUGAGAUACGGCCCAGACUCCUACGGGAGGCAGCAGUGGGGAAUAUUGCACAAUGGGCGCAAGCCUGAUGCAGCGACGCCGCGUGGGGGAUGACGGCCUUCGGGUUGUAAACUCCUUUCAGCCAUGACGAAGCCCUUGUGGUGACGGUAGUGGUAGAAGAAGCACCGGCUAACUACGC